rnacentral:rRNA from 1 species
GAGUUUGAUCCUGGCUCAGAACGAACGCUGGCGGCGUGCUUAACACAUGCAAGUCGAACGCGAACGAGUUCUUCGGAACUUUAGUAGAGUGGCGCACGGGUGAGUAACGCGUAAGUAAUCUACCCUCGCAUCUGGGAUAACCCACCGAAAGGUGUGCUAAUACCGGAUACGUCUAUGUUAAUAUCUUUUUUAUAGAGAAAGGUGGCCUCUGAUUCAAGCUACUGUGCGGGGAGGAGCUUGCGUACCAUUAGCUAGUUGGUAGGGUAACGGCCUACCAAGGCGACGAUGGUUAGCGGGUCUGAGAGGAUGAUCCGCCACACUGGAACUGAAACACGGACCAGACUCCUACGGGAGGCAGCAGUGAGGAAUAUUGCGCAAUGGGGGCAACCCUGACGCAGCGACGCCGCGUGGAUGAUGAAGGCCUUCGGGUUGUAAAAUCCUGUCAGAUGGGAAGAAGUGCUAUAUGGUUAAUAUCGAUAUAGUUUGACGGUACCAUCAAAGGAAGCACCGGCUAACUCCGUGCCAGCAGCCGCGGUAAUACGGAGGGUGCAAGCGUUGUUCGGAAUUACUGGGCGUAAAGCGCGCGUAGGCGGCUAUGUAAGUCAGAUGUGAAAGCCCGCGGCUCAACCGUGGAAGUGCAUUUGAAACUGUAUAGCUUGAGUACUGGAGGGGGUAGUGGAAUUCCCGGUGUAGAGGUGAAAUUCGUAGAUAUCGGGAGGAAUACCGGUGGCGAAGGCGACUACCUGGCCAGAUACUGACGCUGAGGUGCGAAAGCGUGGGGAGCAAACAGGAUUAGAUACCCUGGUAGUCCACGCCGUAAACGAUGUCAACUAGGUGUUGGAGUGGUUAAUCGCUUCAUUGCCGGAGCUAACGCAUUAAGUUGACCGCCUGGGGAGUACGGUCGCAAGAUUAAAACUCAAGGAAUUGACGG